UUUUAGAUCAAGAAGAUGUAGCUCCAUAUGAUUAUAUAUUAAUAUAUGUAGUACAUGAAGCAGACUAAUUUUAAUUAUUGGAAAUAAAAAAAGUGUCACUGUAAAAUAAAAGGGAUAAAAAAAAAAUAAUGAGGACUUGAAGAAGUUGAUGUACCGGUUCAGGAAACGGUUGGACGGAUAGACGACAGCGAAUCACCGGAAGCUUUUAUUGUUUUACAAGUUUAGUACGCGAAAGAGUAACAAAGAGGGAUGGAUAUGAUGAAUAAUGUCAAGUAGAGAGUCAGAGAGUGAUAGAUCUUAUAGAGAUUCAAGAAGAGUAGAGUAGGGGAGAACGGUGACAACUAACCUCGGCCUCUAGACUACUAGCAUACUCUCCAUGAGGUCGACCCUUGUUACCAGCAAGUUGUCCCGGAAACCCGCGAAUACUAGUAUCUUACUGUCCUCUUACUCUCCUUUUCCUCUUCUCGAGAUGUUUAAUUUUAAAAAAUGUUUUUUAACCGUGACAUUUCCGUCUCCCAACAAGGUGGAAUGCAGACAAGAUAAGAAUGACCUAAAGCUUAUGGAAUGUCUUGGAUUUUUCAGGACGUAAAUCUCUUGAGAGCAAUUUAAUUUAUUAAAAUAAACUAAUUAAUUGUCACACACAAGCGGUAUAUCUGAAGAGCAGUAGGUUUAUAUUUGACAUUAUAUAUGUAUAUAAAUAAAUAUAUGGUGUAUGUACAUCGGUAAAAGGUCAAAGAAGUAGAGAAGCCUACUCUUGUCUGCAUCUGCACAGCAACCGAAAGAGAAAAGCAUUCACCCCGGAUUAAUCCCACGGGGAGUAGACAUAGAAGGCCGGUGUUUACUUGAGGAUAGAUGAUUCGGUUACGCAGGGGAUGAACUGCAAACACUGAUCGGGUUUCUACAGCGGCUCGAGUAGUGUUCCACGUCAGCCUCUUUGGCCUCGCGAGACAACCCAAAUGGCGAGGAUGCUCCUCGUAACCAGAAUUAACCACCGGUGGAAGAGAGACAGCGAUAACACUGAAAGCUAAACUAUCUGACAACGCACUCAUCGCAGAGGCCGCGGGUUAAACUAAAGGGUGCUCGUAUAUAUAUAAGUAGCAGAAAUAGAUACGAUUUCUAUUUUCCAAGUAUCGGAAAUGGUGAUAUUGCCACGCCCGCUAUCAUCAAUAACUAUCGAGUGACACAGUAAACAUUAGCGGUAUUUUUAAAACAAAAAUCAAUUAAAUUUGUUUACUUGAAUGUUUUAAUGAAUUUUCGCCGCUUUUAUCUACUGGGAACAUAAAAAAUCGUAUAUACAUAAAUAUAUUGAGUAUGUAAGCAUCAGCGGAGUUUAAAUAACUUGUCAAGCAAGAUGAAAACACGAUCGAGUACGAAGAUGGAGAAUGUGAAAUAAGUGGAAUAGGGAGAUGGAGCAGACAAUAAAAAUAAAAAUAUAAAAUAAUAAUAAUAAAAUUUAUAAACACAUUUUCAAAGCAAUUCUUGUCUUAGAUGACGUAUGGAGUACGAUAGAUAAUUUUCGGGGCGUUUUAAAACCCGCGCACACAUUUUUACAUAACGUCACUUGUUAUCUAUGGACGCACUUAAUACAGCUGCUAUCCCUUACUCUUCCAUCCAUUUGAUUCCGUCCCAUCCCGUUUCCUCAGUCUCGCUCAGAUGCGCUUUUACUCUCUUGUCUUGCUUUCUUGAGACACCACUUAGAGUGACUGCAUAAUAUAUGUCACACUUACACCUAAAAACCUCCACCCAUACUACACACUAUUCAUCCUCUUGUUAUUCAUGUCGACUUUACGUUUCCUCAUUUCUCUUUUGCGAACAAGCUUCUUAAGACGAUCUUACCCGGGUUAAUGUCAGAGGUGUGUGUGUAUAUAUAUAUUUAUGUAUAUAUACAUUUAUACUAUCACUAACUUUUAAAGUAAUUUUGACUCUUGAGUAAACACUGCCAAGGGUAUCAUCAUAUCAUCCUCAGAAAGUCACGUGUCGUUUAAAAGUAUACAUUCAAACAGUUUCAAAGUUCAAAUUAUACAUAUAUAUAUAUAAAUGUAUAUAUAGAGGGAUUAUAAGCUAGUACAAAAGCUUUACUCGAAUUGGUGGAUAAGCGAGUCUCGUAAUUAUUACUCGUGCUAAUUGUAACAGCCGUAGUAUCAGACUCGUGCGACCAACUGAUGGGUAUGCCCAAGGCAGGGAUACCAUAUCCAUUACGGUUAUUACACAGCCUCGACUAGUCACCAAUGUAGCCUUCAUUAUUUCCUUCUUUCUCUUUCUUUUAUACUUUUCUCUUACUGUCUGUCUCUUUUGCUUAAAUGAUAACUCGGCUUUUCAAACUAUACGUGUCUCUGUUUAUCUACGGGAUAUAAUAUAACCCUUGGCGUCCACUGGCGCCCGUUACCACCCACCCUUUUACGAGGAUGAGCAUCGAUCGACAGAGUCCGGUAUCACAUGUAUACUACACAUAUAUUUAUAAAUAUAGAAUACAAAAUCUAUCACUGAGCUUUAACGCCAGGUAACUGAAUGCUAUAUUUUAUAUUUUGGUUUUGUCACCGUCAAUUCACUCGUGAAAUUUAAUUCAAUUAUGUUUACUUUUUAUAUCACAAAUAAUAACAACAACAUUAAUUAAUACCGUGUACUUUAUAAAAGCAUAAAACAAAUAUUAAUAACAAUUUUUAAAAAAUUUUUUGUUACGGACUACAGCUAUCGGAAUCAAUAAUUUAUUUUCAUGACAUUUAUGACUUGAAACUUUAAAAUUAUGUAAAAAUAAGUUCAUUUAUAUGUUUUAUUUAUGACUUAUUUAAAAUUAUUAAUAAUUUUGUGUAAAUAUAUAAAUAUAAAAUAUUUAAAUAAUGAAUGAAAAGUAAUAGGAUAGGAAAUGAAAAUAAGUAAACAACAAUAAACUCUUUUUGCGGACAAUACAUUUAAUUAUUUUUCCUCGCUGACUAGCUUCUCCAAUUUCUUAAAAACCCUCGGGGAAAAUGGAGACUAGAAUAUAAAUAUUAUGUAUCUACCAUUAUUGUAAUGUAUUUUUUCGGUACAGCAAUAGUACAACACAUGAAAAUAUAUACAUUUACAUUAUAUGUAUAUGUAUAUGUAUAUAUGUGUUUAUAAAUUUUCUGAUAUAUGAAAACGCGGCAAUUCACAGGAAUAACGCGUGUAUGUAUAAAGUAGCAAAUGUGUAAUUUUAAAUUUUUAUGUCGAGAGCAUAAAGAUAAAUAUGAGAGUGGUAUAAACUUUGUAAAAUAAAUUGUAAUAAGAUUAAUGUGGUGUAAAUUAAAAUAUAAGUGCGAGGCGAGGAAACAAAAAAUAUAUAAAUUUUAAAUUAUGUCUACAGUAAAAUUACUUUUGUCCUUAAAAAAAUUAUUAUUAUUAUCAAAAGUUAAAUAU